ACAGAAGGCCCGGGAAGAUGCCCCACGUCGCGUAAAGCUAUGCGGGGAGGAAAGUCCGGACAACAAAAAGACAGGGUGACCCCUGAAAAGAGGUCGUCCGGUGGGCAACCAUCGGACCGCGAUAGGGCCACAGAGACGAAUAAAGGUGAAACGUCCCCGCUUUUGCGGGGGACCUCAAGUAAGUAAUUAUUUGAGGGUGGUAACCCGCCCCGUUGCAACUUCCGAACUAGUCGAUUUUAGGUGUCUUUUCCUAAGUUCCCGCAAGGGACGCGACUUAAAGUUUGAAGGCAUUAGACAGAUAUCUUCUUAAACAGAAUCCGGCUUAUGAGGCCACGCUGUUAAC
rnacentral:RNase_P_RNA from 1 species